rnacentral:rRNA from 1 species
AACGAACGCUGGCGGCAGGCUUAACACAUGCAAGCCGAACGCCCCGCAAGGGGAGUGGCAGACGGGUGAGUAACGCGUGGGAACGUGCCCUUCGCUUCGGAAUAGCCCCGGGAAACUGGGAGUAAUACCGAAUACGCCGUAUUGGGAAAGAUUUAUCGGCGAAGGAUCGGCCCGCGUUAGAUUAGGUAGUUGGCGGUGUAAUGGACCACCAAGCCUACGAUCUAUAGCUGGUCUGAGAGGAUGAUCAGCCACACUGGGACUGAGACACGGCCCAGACUCCUACGGGAGGCAGCAGUGAGGAAUCUUGGACAAUGGGCGCAAGCCUGAUCCAGCCAUGCCGCGUGAGUGAAGAAGGCCUUAGGGUUGUAAAACUCUUUCGCCGGAGAAGAUAAUGACGGUAUCCGGAGAAGAAGCCCCGGCUAACUUCGUGCCAGCCGCCGCAGUAAAAC